rnacentral:lncRNA from 1 species
AUCCACCGGCGGCAGCCCAUUUGCCGGCGCUAAAAUCUGCCUUGAAGAACUCGACCUUGCGAGUGUAGGAAGGGGAACGUGGGCAUGAUUGCCAUUGGUGCCUCACGAGCAGCAGCUCUCCGCUCAGCGACCGCACCAGGUAUCGACCCAGAUAUAACUCGUCCUUGACUUGAAGGUCCUCGCCGUCGCCGUACCCAUCAAACACCUCGCUGUCCGAGACCAUCUCAUCGCCGUUGAAGCUAUCAGCUUGGUCGUCGUCACCAUCAUCGACGACUGCCGGAUCAUCCUCCUCCAUAUAAUCAUCGUCAUCCAUAUCCAUAUCCUCGUCGUUGUUGCUACUAGUGCUAGCUACUUCUGCUGGCCACAACCAUCCAAAUUCAUCAUAAUAAUAAUUGGCCAACGUGUUUUUGAUGACCAGCUCAAUCCUGGCAACAUUAGGUCUGCCGUCGUCAUCCUCGCCGAGGUGGAAGGCAAGGAGUUCUUCGCCGGUGGUGAUUCCAUACAGCGUGUCUUCUCCAAGGAACGCCACGUCGACGAUCCUGUAGUAGG